GAUGAACGCUGGCGGCGUGCCUAAUACAUGCAAGUCGAGCGAACAGACGAGGUGCUUGCUCCUCUGACGUUAGCGGCGGACGGGUGCGUAACACGUGGAUAACCUACCUAUAAGACUGGGAUAACUUCGGGAAACCGGAGCUAAUACCGGAUAAUAUAUUGAACCGCAUGGUUCAAUAGUGAAAGACGGUUUUGCUUUCAGUUAUAGAUGGCUCCGGGCCGCAUUAGCUAGUUGGUAAGGUAACGGCUUACCAAGGCAACGAUGGGAAGCCGACCUGAGAGGGUGGUCGGCCACACGGGAACUGAGAAACGGUCCACACUCCGACGGUAGGAAGCGGUAGGGAAUCUUCCGCAAAGGGGGAAAGCUUGACGGAGCAACGCCGCGGGAGUGAUGAAGGUCUUCGGAUCGUAAAACUCUGUUAGUAGGAAAGAACUAAUGUGUAAGUAACUAUGCACAUCUUGACGGUACCUAAUCAGAAAGCCACGGCUAACUACGUG
rnacentral:rRNA from 1 species